rnacentral:siRNA from 1 species
UAGUGUUCUCACUUGGUGUACUA